UACGGAGGGUGCAAGCGUUAUCCGGAUUCACUGGGUUUAAAGGGUGCGUAGGUGGGCAGGUAAGUCAGUGGUGAAAUCCCCGGGCUUAACUCGGAAACUGCCAUUGAUACUAUCUGUCUUGAAUACCGUGGAGGUCAGCGGAAUAUGUCAUGUAGCGGUGAAAUGCUUAGAUAUGACAUAGAACACCAAUUGCGAAGGCAGCUGGCUACACGAAUAUUGACACUGAUGCACGAAAGCGUGGGGAUCAAACAGG
rnacentral:rRNA from 1 species